CCUACGGGUGACAGCAGUCGAGAAUCAUUCACAAUGGGGGAAACCCUGAUGGUGCGACGCCGCGUGGGGGAAUGAAGGUCUUCGGAUUGUAAACUCCUGUCAUGUGGGAGCAAAUUAAAAAGAUAGUACCACAAGAGGAAGAGACGGCUAACUCUGUGCCAGCAGCCGCGGUAAUACAGAGGUCUCAAGCGUUGUUCGGAAUCACUGGGCGUAAAGCGUGCGUAGGCUGUUUCGUAAGCCGUGUGUGAAAGGCGCGGGCUCAACCCGCGGACGGCACAUGAUACUGCGAGACUAGAGUAAGGGAAGGGGAACCGGAAUUCUCGGUGUAGCAGUGAAAUGCGUAGAUAUCGAGAGGAACACUCGUGGCGAAGGCGGGUUCCUGGACAUUAACUGACGCUGAGGCACGAAGGCCAGGGGAGCGAAAGGGAUUAGAUACCCGUGUAGUC
rnacentral:rRNA from 1 species